GCGUGUAUACUCCACUCUACUCGCACGUAGUAUUAAAUUUUAAUCCGACUACGUUCUUGGCGUGUGCGCCGGUUUAGAAAUAAUAAUAAAAAAGAAGAAAAAUAAAAAACCGAAAAAAGCCCCGCGUGCUAUAUCCGUUUUAAAGAGAUACCUACUGCGCAGCACCGCAGGUGAAACGAAACUUCAAAUUGCGAGGGAAAUCG